rnacentral:rRNA from 1 species
AGUGAACGCUGGCGGUAGGCCUAACACAUGCAAGUCGAACGGCAGCACAGUAAGAGCUUGCUCUUACGGGUGGCGAGUGGCGGACGGGUGAGGAAUACAUCGGAAUCUACUUUUUCGUGGGGGAUAACGUAGGGAAACUUACGCUAAUACCGCAUACGACCUACGGGUGAAAGCAGGGGAUCUUCGGACCUUGCGCGAUUGAAUGAGCCGAUGUCGGAUUAGCUAGUUGGCGGGGUAAAGGCCCACCAAGGCGACGAUCCGUAGCUGGUCUGAGAGGAUGAUCAGCCACACUGGAACGGAGAACCGGUCCAGACUCCUAGGGGGGGCAGCAGUGGGGAAUAUUGGACAAUGGGCGCAAGCCUGAUCCAGCCAUACCGCGUGGGUGAAGAAGGCCUUCGGGUUGUAAAGCCCUUUUGUUGGGAAAGAAAAGCAGCAGGUUAAUACCCCGCCGUUCUGACGGUACCCAAAGAAUAAGCACCGGCUAACUUCGU